AGAUAGGUCAACGGCUCUACAUUCUGCAACCUCUCUCAUGUAUCAAAGAAGAAUACCUGACGUUGGUACAUAAGAGCUUCAUGAUUAUAAACUGUCCAGUCAGUCAACCUCCUUUCCUCUCUUCUCUUCUAGCAUCAGAAUGCCAUCAGGAUAUCUCCUUUGGGUCCAAUCUGGGAUGAAAAAUUCCAACAUCUCAACUUUAAACACAGGCAAGUAUUCAAGGGAAAAUGUAACCAAGAGAGCUAAUAUAUAGAACUGCAAAAAGACC
rnacentral:lncRNA from 1 species